GCAAGCGCCAAGCUUCCAUCCGGACUUCAAGGCCAGUGGCUGGGUCUGGUUUUCUCAACACGGCCUCCUAGUCUCCUUCCCGCUUGGGCAUCUGUUUUUCUUAUAUAGACCCUGAAGCCGCCCGUGAUGUUCUGUAAGCAGGUUCCGCUUCAGAAUCAGAGGUACUUAAGAGGGAACCUGGAUGCUAGACCUGCCCUUGCUGCUGGCCUCAGUUUCUUUACCUGUAAAACAGGGAUUUUGGAACUGUUAAAUUAAAUCAAACUUAAAAGAAUUACAACUUAAAGCUGCUGGAACUUUACAUGAUCCCGAGCCUUGAGAGGAAUGUGGCUAUGCAGCCUGAGUCAUGUGGCAUGCAGAUGCAACCUCUGCCUUUUUCCGCUGUAAAUAAUUAAGAAGACCAAGUAGCAUCCAAGAGUCACCUAAGCUGAAGAUUCCCUUGAGAACAAGUACUGUCCUGUGGUUUCAUGGCCUUUCUUCCAUUUGUGGUUCUUGCCAAGCGGAAUUUAAAUGACAUCUUAUCAAGAUGGAUAAACCCUAGUUUCCCAGUGCUGGAAUAUAGAAAAUGGAUGGACAAGUAAAUCCCACUCAGCACCCAUAGCCCAGGCAUGGGGACCUCAACACAUUUGAGCCGCAGAGAUCACCUUUCAUUGUGAAUAGCUCUGAGAUGAUACUUCUGGUUGAAUGUCUUUUUGUCACUUCCGGCUGGAUCUACCAUGAAAGAUUUCUGAAUCCAGGAAGAGAGAUUGACUGGGCAACAUGUUAUUCAGAAACAGGACCUUGCCCUGUCACUCAGGAUGGAGUUCAGUGGUCCAAUCAUGGCUCAUUGUAGCCUCAAACUCCCAGGCUCAAGCAAUCCUACCACGUCAGUCUUCCCAGUAGCUGACAGGGUCUCACUCUGUCGCCCAGGCUGGAGUGCAGUGGCAUGAUCUUGGCUCACUGUAGUGUAGACUUCCCAGCCUCAAGGGAUCCUCCCACCCCAGACUCCCAAGUAGCUGGAAUUACAGGUCUCAUGCUCUCACUCAGGCUGCAGUACAGUGGCACAACCUCUACUCACUGCAGCCUCUACCUGCCAGGCUCAAGCAAUUCUCCUGACUUAGCCUCCCGAGUAGCUGGGAUUACAGUUGAAGCAUAUGUCCUGUGAGCUUAGGGGUGCUACAAGUUGACCACUGCAGCAGUAAAGAUGAUUCUGAAGAAUGGCAUGGGAUGGAUCCUUUCGAAUGCACUUGAGCAGCGGUCUCCAACCACAGGGCCACAGAGCUGGAGCUGGAUCUACCAUGAAAGACUUCUGAAUCCAGGAAGAGAGACUGACUGGGCAACAUGUUAUUCAGGAGAUGGGGUCUCACCCUGUCGCCCAGGCUUGAGUACAGUAGUGCUAUCACAGCUCACUGCAGCCUUGAACUCCUGGGCUAAGGAUCCUCCUACCUGAGCCUCCUGAGUAGCUGGGACUGUAGGGUCUCCCUCUGUUGUCCAAGGCUGGAGUGUAGUAGUGCUAUCACAGCUGACUGCAGCCUCAACCUUCCAGGCUGAAGCGAUCCUCCCAUCUCAACCUCCCACGUGGCUGAGACUACAGGCGCUUGCCACUAUGCCCAACUAAUAUUUGGAAUUUUCCUAUACGUGGAUUCCAGAGGGGUGACAGCGAAACGUGGGACCAUCCAGUUGCAGGAAAACGAGCUUAACACGCCCACUGAUUCUACAUUAUGCUCCUACCUCCCGGCAGCCUCUCCAGGCCCAGAACUUUCUCCAGUCGGCCUCCACAGACCAAGCUCAUGACUCACAAUGGCCUAUUUAGGCCCAUACCCUACCUCACGGCAGUCUCCGCAGAUGAGGCUACUGCCUCACAACAGCCUCCACAGGCACAGCUCCAUCGUUACAAUGGCCUCUUUAGACCCAGCUCCUGCCUCCCAGCCUUCUCUCUAGGCCCUGAACUUUCUCAAGUCGACGUCACCAGGCCCAGCUCAUGCUUCUUGGCAGCCUCUCCAGGCCCAGCUCUUCCUCCCGGCGGCCUCUGCAGGCCCAGACUGUCAUCAAGUCGGCCUGUCCAGGGCCAGCUCCUGCCUCCCGGCGCCCUCUGCAGGCCCAAGUCGUCCUCAAGUUGGCCUCCCCAGGCCCAGCUCCAGCCUCUCGGCGGCCUCUCCGGGUGCAAAAGUUCCUCGAGUCAGCCUCUCCAGGCCCAGCUCCUCCUGCCUCCCAGUGCCUCUUUCGGCCCAGCCCAGCUCAUGCCUCUGGGCGGCCUUCCCAGGCCCCGCUUUUGACUUUUGGCGGCCUCUGCAGGCCUCGACAAGGCCCGGCCUCCUGCCUCCCGAAGCCUGCACAGGCCCAGCCUCUGCCUCACAGCAGACUCUCCACGCCCAGCUAGCUCUCGCCUCACUGCGGCCUCCCCAGUCCAAAGCUCCUGCCUCUCGGCCGCUUCGGCAGGCCCAGCUCCCGCCUGCCAGUGCCUCUUCAGGCCCAUGGGGCUCAUUCCUCACAACGGCCUUUCCAGGCCCCGUUUUUCCCUUCCGGCGGCCUCUCCGGGCCCAGAACCUCCUCAAGUUGGCCUCUCCAGACCCACUUGCACCCUCCGGGCGUCCUCUCCAGGCCCAGCUCUUCCUCCCGGCUGCGUCUCCAGGCCCGACUCCUGCCUCCCAACAACCUCUUUGGACUCAGUGCCUGCCCAUCUCCUGGCGGCCUUGGUCGGCCCACAGCUUCCUCAAGCCAAGCUCCCCAGGCCCAGGUCAGGCCUCACGGUGGCCUCUCCAGGAUCAGCUCCUGCCCUCCGAUGGUGUCUCCAGGCCCCAAAUGGUCUCCGGCCAGUGGGCUCCUCCACGCCCAGCUUGGGCCUCCCGGCGACCUCUGCAGGCCCAAGUCGUCCUGAAGUCGGCCUCUCCCGGCCCUGCCUCCCAGCAAGUAAGCAAGCUUUUUUGGCUUAGCUCCUGCCCAGCUCCCAACCGCCUUUGUAGGCCCCGAACUUUCUCCAGCCAAGCUCUUCGGGCCCACCUCCUGCCUCCCGGUGGCCUGUACAGGCCCAGCUCUGGCUGGAGAACAGCCUCUGCAGGCCCCGCUCUUGCCU
ensembl:lncRNA LINC00265 long intergenic non-protein coding RNA 265